rnacentral:rRNA from 1 species
AGUCGAACGAUGAACCUUAGCUUGCUAAGGGGANUAGUGGCGAACGGGUGAGUAAUAUAUCGGAACGUACCUUGUAAUGGGGGAUAACUAGUCGAAAGAUUAGCUAAUACCGCAUACGCCCUGAGGGGGAAAGUAGGGGAUCUUCGGACCUUACGUUAUAAGAGCGGCCGAUAUCUGAUUAGCUAGUUGGUGGGGUAAUGGCCUACCAAGGCGACGAUCAGUAGCUGGUCUGAGAGGACGACCAGCCACACUGGAACUGAGACACGGUCCAGACUCCUACGGGAGGCAGCAGUGGGGAAUUUUGGACAAUGGGCGCAAGCCUGAUCCAGCCAUUCCGCGUGAGUGAAGAAGGCCUUCGGGUUGUAAAGCUCUUUCGCAAGGGAAGAAAACUUACCAUCGAAUAAAUGGUGAGGCUGACGGUACCUUGAUAAGAAGCACCGGCUAACUACGUGCCAGCAGCCGCGGCAAUACGUAGGGUGCGAGCGUUAAUCGGAAUUACUGGGCGUAAAGCGUGCGCAGGCGGUUUUGUAAGUCAGAUGUGAAAUCCCCGAGCUCAACUUGGGAACUGCGUUUGAAACUACAAGACUAGAAUAUGUCAGAGGGGGGUAGAAUUCCACGUGUAGCAGUGAAAUGCGUAGAGAUGUGGAGGAAUACCAAUGGCGAAGGCAGCCCCCUGGGAUAAUAUUGACGCUCAUGCACGAAAGCGUGGGGAGCAAACAGGAUUAGAUACCCUGGUAGUCCACGCCCUAAACGAUGUCUACUAGUUGUUGGUGGAGUAAAAUCCAUGAGUAACGCAGCUAACGCGUGAAGUAGACCGCCUGGGGAGUACGGUCGCAAGAUUAAAACUCAAAGGAAUUGACGGGGGGCCCGCACAAGCGGUGGAGCAUGUGGNUUUAAUUCGAUGCAACGCGAAGAA